rnacentral:rRNA from 1 species
GACGAACGCUGGCGGCGUGCUUAACACAUGCAAGUCGAACGGAAAGGCCCUGCUUUUGUGGGUUGCUCGUUUGGCGAACGGGUGAGUAACACGUGAGUAUCCUGCCCUUGACUUUGGGAUAACUUCAGGAAACUGGGGCUAAUACCGGAUAUGAUCUCCUGCUGCAUGGUGGUGGUUGGUAAGUUUCGGCGGUUGGGGAUGGACUCGCGGCUUAUCAGCUUGUUGGUGUGGUAGUGGCUUACCAAGGCUUUGACGGGUAGCCGGCCUGAGAGGGUGACCGGCCACAUUGGGACUGAGAUACGGCACAGAAUCCUACGGGAGGCAGCAGUGGGGAAUAUUGCACAAUGGGCGGAAGCAUGAUGCAGAAACGCGGCGUGCGGGAUGACGGCCUUCGGGUUGUAAACCGAUUUCGCAUGUGACGAAGAGUGAGUGACGGUAAUGGGUAAAGAAGCACCGGCUAACUACGUG